rnacentral:rRNA from 1 species
UACGAAGGGGGCUAGCGUUGUUCGGAAUUACUGGGCGUAAAGCGCACGUAGGCGGAUUGUUAAGUUAGGGGUGAAAUCCCAGGGCUCAACCCUGGAACUGCCUUUAAUACUGGCAAUCUCGAGUCCGAGAGAGGUGAGUGGAAUUCCGAGUGUAGAGGUGAAAUUCGUAGAUAUUCGGAGGAACACCAGUGGCGAAGGCGGCUCACUGGCUCGGUACUGACGCUGAGGUGCGAAAGCGUGGGGAG